rnacentral:lncRNA from 1 species
UUCAGGAUGUUACUCUACCCACGCCAUAAUAUCCGUGAUGUAGUCCGGAGGUAGAGCAGGAAACACUGUCGGCCCGAAGAAGAUGAGCUCUUGAAGCUGGUCGGAUUGGUAACGUACAUCCAAAUCCAACCCAGCAGCUCUCCCAGUAAGUGCGGCAUUGUCAUCUUUCAGAGUCAGAACCUCUUCUUCCGCACUUGCAAGCUCGCUUUUCAGCUCAGUAGUUUCGCGUUGGCUCUGAGCAGCUUG